AUACGACCAUACCCACGGGAGAACUCGGGAUCCCGUCCGCUCUCCCAUAGAUAAGCCAGUGAGGGCCGGAUUAGUAGUUGGGUCGGUGACGACCAGCGAAUACCUGGUGUUGUAUG
rnacentral:rRNA from 1 species